rnacentral:misc_RNA from 1 species
UCAAACUUGGUCAUUUAGAGGAAGUAAAAGUCGUAACAAGGUUUCCGUAGGUGAACCUGCGGAAGGAUCAUUGAUGGAUAAAAUUUUCCCAAGCCUUUUUUUGGGGGGAAAAGUUAAUUAAGCUUUUCUUCCCUUUUUCUGGCUUGCAAACAACUUUGAUACCCAAAAAGAGUUUCAUCUUUGAGUUCCUGCCUUUUCCAGGUUUAUUUGCUUGGAUAGUUGGAAUGUUGAAGAUACCAGGAUCAGAUCAGGGGGAGACCCUUGGUUCUGGAAUGGUGUAACCUAUGUGGAUGCCUGAUAAAAGAACAAGAGUUUUUGGAUUUGGGAAUGAAACAACUUUCAACAACGGAUCUCUUGGCUCUCACAUCGAUGAAGAACGCAGC